rnacentral:lncRNA from 1 species
UACAUUUUCAGUUGAAAAGACAUGUUGAAAGUUUAUUAAUUCGUCGUGCCAUAUCCAUGUUGUAUAACUUUGUAUGAAACUAUCACAGAUAAGAUGUUCCCUAAUAUCAAUUGCAUUCAACUUCCUCACAUUCAAACAGUUCACACCGGAACAUCUAAAAUUGACUUCAUCAUCACCACUUGUACUCGCAUUACGUUGCACAAACUCUAUAAAUUCUUCUACCCCUCUCUUGUACUCAGUGCUGAUGCGUGGUAAAUUAAUCCACCCUCGACUC